AUUUGCUCUUAUUGCUCGAGAUUCUACUUCUGACACUCUUAGAAUAGCAGAUAAUAACCUUAUUACAGAAUCAGUUCUGUUGUACCCUGGGAUGGAAGAGGCCUUUUCUCCUGGAGAUCCCAGAAUUUGAAGUGUUGUAUUGAUGUCAACUUCAGUUGAAUGUUUAAUGGAAUAUUCCAUGACUUCUGGAGGUAUUAGCGGAG
rnacentral:lncRNA from 1 species